rnacentral:rRNA from 1 species
UUUAAAUUGAGAGUUUGAUCCUGGCUCAGGACGAACGCUGGCGGCGUGCCUAACACAUGCAAGUCGAGCGAUGAAACCCUUCGGGGUGGAUUAGCGGCGGACGGGUGAGUAACACGUGGGUAACCUGCCUCAAAGAGGGGAAUAGCCUCCCGAAAGGGAGAUUAAUACCGCAUAAUAUGUUUUGGUCGCAUGAUCGAAACAUC